UACGUAGGGUGCAAGCGUUGUCCGGAAUUAUUGGGCGUAAAGAGCUCGUAGGCGGUCUGUCACGUCGGAUGUGAAAAUCCAGGGCUUAACCCUGGACCUGCAUUCGAUACGGGCAGACUAGAGUUCGGUAGGGGAGACUGGAAUUCCUGGUGUAGCGGUGAAAUGCGCAGAUAUCAGGAGGAACACCAAUGGCGAAGGCAGCUCGCUGGGACGGUAUUGACGCUGAGACGCGAAAGCGUGGGGAGCAAACAGG
rnacentral:rRNA from 1 species